UCGUUAAGAAGGCCUCUAGCACAGCUCUUCUCCCCUGCUUUUCAGUGGCAGCUCCAUCGCAUGCGCUCGUCGCUGGCUCGGCUGCGUACCGCCGCCAACCAUAGCUUCAGCGGAUGGAAGAUGUAUGCCACGUCUCUCCCGAUCUCUUUUUCCGAAUGAAUUUGAGGGAGCCUUCAGCCCUUUAUAGGAACUUUUUCUUGGAUCUGCUACAAAAGAGAUUGAGAAUUGGGGACUAUUCAUUAGAGGGAUUAGAGUUGGUAUCGUGAUCUUCUGGAAGUAUGUGGUAUGAGGGAGAUGAUGUUAUAUUCAGUAGAGUUGAUAUCCAUUGCCAAAUGAAAAAGCACGAAUGGCCAUUUUGAGUCGCUUGGUGACAUGAUGAUUCGAGGAGCAUGAGCGGCAAACCUACCUUCAGUUUUAACUUAUGGUCUGGUAUUCCUGGGGACGUUAAGGUGUUGAGGAGCUCAGUAGGCUGCAUGUUCAUCAUGAUGUUGGUAUUUGUCGUUGCCUUGCACACUGUGUCCAGGCUUAGGCAUGCAAGUGCAUUUGGUGAUGACUACUAAUGGACGUUGUCACAUACAGUACAUCUGGAGAUUAAUGUUGUUUAUCUGGCACACACAUGAAGAAUUGCAUCGGGAUAUUACCUGAGGCUGAUGGUGCUGAUGUUGUGUCUUCAGUUCGUUGGACGUUUCUUUGUGCCUGUGAUCGUUUGGGUGUCGCCGGCGUAUAUUGGAUGCAAGUUGCUGGAGUUGUUGCCAUACCUUCAAUUUGUCGGCCGUCUCGUGUGUUUGAUCUUCCCGACAUUAUGAAAAAGUAGCUAUUGAGAAAGUGCAUCAUGGGUCAUUUAUGAAUGUAUGUCUUGUAAAAUUAUGGUUGAAUGAUGUUUAUGUGAUAUAAGCAGAGGGAUGAGUGUAUGUGACCA